AGCCUGCAGCACAGCGUAGGUAGUCCAUGGCAACAGGAAACACAUUUCCCAGGUACAGAGAGAAACCAGAUGUGAUGAGCAGACUGCCCUGAGGACACACACACACACACACACACACACACACACACACACACACACACACACACA